rnacentral:rRNA from 1 species
GUCGAGAAUCUUCCACCAAUGUGCGAAAGCAUGAUGGAGCGACGCCGCGUGGGCGAUGAAGGCCUUCGGGUUGUAAAGCCCUGUUGGAUGGGCGUAAUCCCUGGGGAUGAAUACUCUUCCAGGUUGAACUCCCAUCGGAGGAAGCACCGGCUAAACUCGUGCCAGCAGCCGCGGUAAUACGAGUGGUGCGAGCGUUGUUCGGAAUUACUGGGCAUAAAGAGCACGUAGGCGGUCUGGUAAGUCUGCUGUGAAAUCCCCCGGCUCAACCGGGGAACUGCAGUUGAUACUGCUGGGCUAGAGUGCGGGAGGGGAGAGCGGAAUUCCUGGUGGAGCGGUGAUAUGCGUAGAUAUCAGGAGGAACGCCGGAGGCGAAAGCGGCUCUCUGGUCCGUAACUGACGCUGAGGUGCGAAAGCUAGGGGAGCGAACAGGAUUAGAAACCCCGGUAGUCC